rnacentral:rRNA from 2 species
AAACUUGAGAGUUUGAUCAUGGCUCAGAACGUACGCUGGCGGCACGCCUAACACAUGCAAGUCGAACGAAGUAGCAAUACUUAGUGGCAGACGGGUGAGUAACAUGUAGGUAUCUGCCCUUUGGCCUGGAAUAACACGAGGAAACUUGUGCUAAUACCGGAUAAGUCUUUACAGAGAAAGCUUUAUGCACCAUUGGAUGAGCCUGCACUUGAUUAGUUUGUUGGUGGGGUAAUGGCCUACCAAGACUGUGAUCAAUAGCUGAUUUGAGAGGAUGAUCAGCCACAUUGGGACUGAGACACGGCCCAAACUCCUACGGGAGGCAGCAGUGGGGAAUCUUGCACAAUGGAGGAAACUCUGAUGCAGCGAUGCCGCGUGAGUGAAGAAGGCCCUUGGGUUGUAAAGCUCUUUCGUCGGGGAAGAAAAUGACUGUACCCGAAUAAGAAGGUCCGGCUAACUUCGUGCCAGCAGCCGCGGUAAUACGAAGGGACCUAGCGUAGUUCGGAAUUACUGGGCUUAAAGAGUUCGUAGGUGGUUGAAAAAGUUAGUGGUGAAAUCCCAGAGCUUAACUCUGGAACUGCCAUUAAAACUUUUCAGCUAGAGUAUGAUAGAGGAAAGCAGAAUUUCUAGUGUAGAGGUGAAAUUCGUAGAUAUUAGAAAGAAUACCAAUUGCGAAGGCAGCUUUCUGGAUCAUUACUGACACUGAGGAACGAAAGCAUGGGUAGCGAAGAGGAUUAGAUACCCUCGUAGUCCAUGCCGUAAACGAUGUGUGUUAGACGUUGGAAAUUUAUUUUCAGUGUCGCAGCGAAAGCGAUAAACACACCGCCUGGGGAGUACGACCGCAAGGUUAAAACUCAAAUGAAUUGACGGGGACCCGCACAAGUAGUGGAGCAUGUGGUUUAAUUCGAAGAUACGCGCAGAACCUUACCAACACUUGACAUGUUCGUCGCGACUCUAAGAGAUUAGAGUUUUCGGUUCGGCCGGACGAAACACAGGUGCUGCAUGGCUGUCGUCAGCUCGUGUCGUGAGAUGUUGGGUUAAGUCCCGCAACGAGCGCAACCCUCACUUUUAGUUGCCAUCAUUAAGUUGGGCACUCUGAAAGAACUGCCAGUGAUAAGCUGGAGGAAGGUGGGGAUGACGUCAAGUCCUCAUGGCCCUUACGUGUUGGGCUACACACGUGCUACAAUGGUAUCUACAACAGGAAGCAAGACUGCGAAGUUAAGCAAAUCCCUAAAAGAUACCUCAGUUCGGAUUGCACUCUGCAACUCGAGUGCAUGAAGCUGGAAUUACUAGUAAUCGUGGAUCAGCGUGCCACGGUGAAUGCGUUCCCGGGUCUUGUACACACCGCCCGUCACACCAUGGGAGUUGGUUCUACCUUAAGGCAAGGUUUCAAACCCUUGACCACGGUAUAGUCAGCGACUGGGGUGAAGUCGUAACAAGGUAGCCGUAGGGGAACCUGCGGCUGGAUUACCUCCUUU